GAGGUGGGACAUACAAAGGCAAGCUUCUAACUUAACCUUUAAGCGAUGAAAGUUCGUUUACACUUCU
rnacentral:tRNA from 1 species